rnacentral:misc_RNA from 1 species
GAUGAAGAACGUAGCGAAAUGCGAUAAGUAAUGUGAAUUGCAGAAUUCAGUGAAUCAUCGAAUCUUUGAACGCACAUUGCGCCCAUUAGUAUUCUAGUGGGCAUGCCUGUUCGUGCGUCAUUAAUUCCACUUAAGCCCUGCUUAGUGUUGGGAAUCUACUCUAGUGGUGCUACCCUGGAGCUACCCCUGAAAGGGGGCUGGCCCGGUAGCUACCCUGUAGUUCCUCAAAGAUAGUGCGCGGAGUUGCGUGGUCCUCUGAGCUUAGUAACUAUACACCUAGCUUUUGAGUGUCCCGCGGCGCCUGCCGUUUAAACCCCAUCUUUUAAUGGUUGACCUCGGAUCAGGUAGGAAUACCCGCUGAACUUAAGCAUAUCAAUAAGCGGAGGA